ACGAACGCUGGCGGCAGGCUUAACACAUGCAAGUCGAACGCCCCGCAAGGGGAGUGGCAGACGGGUGAGUAACGCGUGGGAACGUACCUUUCGCUUCGGAAUAUUCCCGGGAAACUGGGAGCAAUGCCGAAUACGCCGUAUUGGGAAAGAUUUAUCGGCGAAAGAUCGGCCCGCGUUAGAUUAGCUAGUUGGCGGUGUAAUGGACCACCAAGGCUACGAUCUAUAGCUGGUCUGAGAGGAUGAUCAGCCACACUGGGACUGAGACACGGCCCAGACUCCUACGGGAGGCAGCAGUGGGGAAUCUUGGACAAUGGGCGCAAGCCUGAUCCAGCCAUGCCGCGUGAGUGAAGAAGGCCUUAGGGUUGUAAAACUCUUUCGCCGGAGAAGAUAAUGACGGUAUCCGGAGAAGAAGCCCCGGCUAACUUCGU
rnacentral:rRNA from 1 species